rnacentral:rRNA from 1 species
GACAGAGGGUGCAAACGUUGUUCGGAAUUACUGGGCGUAAAGCGAGUGUAGGCGGUCUGAUAAGUCGGGUGUGAAAGCCCUGGGCUCAACCCAGGAAGUGCACUCGAAACUGUCAGGCUAGAGUAUCGGAGAGGUUGGUGGAAUUCUCGGUGUAGAGGUGAAAUUCGUAGAUAUCGAGAGGAACACCGGUGGCGAAGGCGGCCAACUGGACGAAUACUGACGCUGAGACUCGAAAGCGUGGGGAGCAAACAGG